CUGUGAGGGGACGUCCUGGGGAAGAAUGAAGACAGAGCCAUAGAGUUCCUCAUGUGAGAUUCUUGGCGCAGCACUAGGAUGUCCGUGGAUCCCAGUGAUGGGGGUCCAGGGGUCAGAGCUCCUGGGUCACUGCUGCUGUGAUGAAGCCCAGGGUGGCAUGGGUGGGCAUCAGGAUAGCCUCCACGAUGUGCCACGGGGCUGGGGGUGCGAGGACUCGUGAUAAGCAAGCUGUCUGCUGGAAGCCAAGUGCUAGCACCUUCCCUCCAGCCUGUGGGUAGAAUGAGCAGUUCAAGAAAGUGGAAACAAGGUUGACGUCCCUGAGUGGGCAGUGAGGAGUGUGAGCCUGCCCCCAGCCCCGGCAUUGACCCCACAGGGCGUUGACCCCCAGGCCAAAGCCAGUGAGAGUCAGCUCUCUGACCACUCAACCUGGCUCCAAAGCUGGUGACCUCUACUAAUGACCCAGAGUGGACAGGCUGGACUGGAGGGUCCAUGGAGCCCUUGCUUAUCUCCCCCACCUCCUAAGAGGCAGGAAAAGCAAUCUUCUUGUGUUGUUUAUUUUUGGCUGCACUGGGUUUUUGCUGCUGAGCCCAGGCUUUCUCUAUUGCAGUGACUGGGGGCUCCUCUCUAGUUGUGGUCCUCAGGUUUCUCAUUGCGGUGGCUUCCCUUGUUGCGGGUCCUGGACUCUAGAUCGCAGGCUCAGCCGUUUGGCACAUGGGCUUAGGUGCCCCGAGGCCUGUGGGAUCCUCCAGGACCAGAGAUCAAACUCGUGUACCCUACAUGGGAAGGUGGACUCCCAGCCACUGGACCACCAGAGAAGUCCAAAACCAAUCUCAGUCCUGGUUUGGAGCCAGGCGGGCUAUUCCUUCUUCUGUUUCAGAAACCUCUCUCCCCUCAGCUGGUGUCCUGAUCAUUCUAGGUCCUUGGCUUUAGGGCUUUGAAUUUUAGAUUUUUAAUCUUAAUUCUAAGACUUAUCUGAGAAACCCUGAAGGCAGGAGUAAGUUUUUAGCCUGGGAAUGCUGAGUGACCUUCAGAGUAUUGCUGACACUCUUCAAGUGCGUGGGGCAUGUGUGUGAGUAUGUUCGCAGAUUUUAGUAAAUAUCUGAGGGCUGUGCUACCAUCUUGUCUUCAGUGGGAUCCCUUGCCAGGAAGAUGAAAACACAAACUUACAAAAUGUUAAUGUGCUGUUUCCAAAAGACAUCUGACAACCCCACAAUGGCGCAUCUCAGAGGGCACAAUACAGGCUAUAAAUGUCAUCCCGAGAGAGCUGUUUACAGUCUCUGACCCUAGUUUCCAAAUUACAGCAUGAAAUUUCUGUUCAUAACAAAUUUGAAAUUCAGCCUGUUCUCCUACUGAACAAGCAAGUGUAAUAGGAGGGACAAAGUAAUGGAAAAGAGGUGCAUAUGACAGAGUGCUUUCCUGGCAGUGUAUUUUGGGGAUUCCUGGUUGUACUGAAUUAUUUCUUCCCUGGAUAGUGAUCUUAAGACUUUCUUCCAAAAACAGACAUUUUUGUUCUUUCUUUAGGUUGUGGACACAGUAGUAGAAUGCUUAAUUUGUGUGACUCUCACACAAGUGUGUGCCUGAGAAGAAAAUAGUCUUCAUCACAUGCACAUCACUGGAUGAUGAAUCAACUUGACCUUCCCUACUCCAGUCUCCAAGGUCAUCCACCAUAUCACCCGACCAGUUGCAUCUGCCACUUACCCGCUGUUGUCUGCGUAAGACACACAA